rnacentral:rRNA from 1 species
GUGGGGAAUAUUGGACAAUGGGCGAAAGCCUGAUCCAGCCAUGCCGCGUGUGUGAAGAAGGUCUUCGGAUUGUAAAGCACUUUAAGUUGGGAGGAAGGGCAGUAAGUUAAUACCUUGCUGUUUUGACGUUACCGACAGAAUAAGCACCGGCUAACUUCGUGCCAGCAGCCGCGGUAAUACGAAGGGUGCAAGCGUUAAUCGGAAUUACUGGGCGUAAAGCGCGCGUAGGUGGUUUUGUAAGUUGGAGGUGAAAUCCCCGGGCUCAACCUGGGAACUGCCUCGAAAACUGCAUGACUAGAGUACGGUAGAGGGUAGUGGAAUUUCCUGUGUAGCGGUGAAAUGCGUAGAUAUAGGAAGGAACACCAGUGGCGAAGGCGACUACCUGGACUGAUACUGACACUGAGGUGCGAAAGCGUGGGGAGCAAACAGGAUUAGAUACCCCAGUAGUCC